UUAAUUGAAGAGUUUGAUCAUGGCUCAGUGUGAACGCUGGCUGCCGGCGUAACAGAUUCAAGUCGAAGCGUAACAG
rnacentral:rRNA from 1 species